AGAGGGGUAGCUGGGUCAAAUGGUGAUUCCAUUCCCAAUUUUCCAAGAAACCUUCAUACUGCUUUUCAUAUUGGCUGCACCAAUUUGCAGUCCCACCAGCAGU
rnacentral:pre_miRNA from 1 species